rnacentral:rRNA from 1 species
AUUCCAGCUCCAGUAGCGUAUAUUAAAGUUGUUGCAGUUAAAAAGCUCGUAGUUGGAUUUCUGGCCUGACGAAACUGACCCGCCGCGGUUACGUGUGUGAGUGUCGGGCUUCGUCUGCCAUCCUUCCAGAAAACGUUUCUACCCUUCACUGGGCUGGAUUCGCGAUCUGGAACUUUUACUUUGAAGAAAUUAGAGUGUUCAAAGCAGGCUUGCGCUGUGAAUACAUUAGCAUGGAAUAAUAAUUUAGGACUCAGGUCUUAUUUUGUUGGUUCUUAAGAUCUAAGUAAUGAUUGAUAGGGAUAGUUGGGGGUGCUAGUAUUCAGCGGCCAGAGGUGAAAUUCUUGGAUUCGCUGAAGACUAACUUAUGCGAAAGCAUUCACCAAGGAUGUCUUCAUCA